rnacentral:SRP_RNA from 1 species
GCCGGGCGCGGUGGCAUGUGUCUGUAGUCCCAGCUAUUCAGGAGGCUGAGACUGGAGGAUCUCUUGAGUCCAGGAGUUCUGGGCUGUAGUGCGCUAUGCCAAUCGGGUGUCUGCUCUAAGUUUGGCAUCAAUAUGGUGACCUCCCAGGAGCAGGGGACCACCAGGUUGCCUAAGGAGAGGUGAACUGGUCCAGGUUGGAAAUGGAGCAGGUCAAAACUCCAGUGCUGAUCAGUAGUGGGAUCGCAUCUGUGAAUAGCCACUGCACUCCAGCCUGGGCAACAUAGGGAGACCCUGUCUCU